UACAGAGGGUGCGAGCGUUGUUCGGAAUUAUUGGGCGUAAAGCGCUGGUAGGUGGCUUGACAAGUCGCGUGUGAAAGCUUCCGGCUCAACCGGAAAAGUGCGCGCGAAACUGUGAAGCUUGAGUGCCGGAGAGGGUCGCGGAAUUCCCGGUGUAGAGGUGAAAUUCGUAGAUAUUGGGAAGAACACCGGUGGCGAAGGCGGCUCACUGGCUCAUUACUGACGCUCAGGCGCGACAGCGUGGGGAUCAAACAGG
rnacentral:rRNA from 1 species